GAUGAAGAACGCAGCGAAAUGCGAUAAGUAAUGUGAAUUGCAGAAUUCAGUGAAUCAUCGAAUCUUUGAAUGCACAUUGCGCCCUCUGGUAUUCCGGGGGGCAUGCCUGUUCGAGCGUCAUUACAACCCUCAAGCUCUGCUUGGUAUUGGGCUCUGCCGGUCCUGGCAGGCCUCAAAGUCAGUGGCGGUGCCAUCCGGCUCCAAGCGUAGUAAUUCUUCUCGCUUCGGAGGCCGCGGUGCGUGCUAGCCAGCAACCCCCAAUUUUUUUCAGGUUGACCUCGGAUCAGGUAGGGAUACCCGCUGAACUUAAGCAUAUCAAUAAGCGGAGGA
rnacentral:misc_RNA from 1 species